ensembl:lncRNA
GUGAUUUUCACUUUUAUUGAGUCAUUUUCUAUUAAGGUAUCUUUACAUUUACUCAAGUAUGACAAUUGGGUACUUUUUCCAAAACUGAAUAUUUUUGUGUUAUGAUACUCUGCUUUCACUUGGUUUGGUGACGUGUAAUUCCGACAUGGUGUGAUAAUUUGAACUAUCAAACCCAAUUUUGAACUUCAUCCAUCAUAGUUUUUCUUAAUCUGUUCCCUAGUCAUCUCUUCAUCUGUUCCCUAGUCAUCUCUUCAUCUGUUCCCUAGUCAUCUCUUAAUCUGUUUCCUAGUCAUCUCUUCAUCUGUUCCCUAGUCAUCUCUUCAUCUGUUCCCUAGUCAUCUCUUCAUCUGUUUCCUAGAAUAGUAUAGGCUAUGUGCUGUUGAUGGAGAUGAUGAAGAUAGAUCUGGAGAUUGAGGGGAUGCCUGUUCCCUUCUAGAAGAUUUAAAGAUAAGCAUAUAAAUGCAGUUGUGACAACCUCUCUUUCUCUUUCUCUCUCUCUCCCUCGCUUUCUCUCUCUUGCUCUCUUCCGCUCUCUCGCUCUCUCUCUCUAUCUUUCUCCCUCUUUCGCCCUCUUUUUCCCUCCUUCUCUACCUCUCUCUUCCUCUCUCUCCCUCUCUUUCUCCAUCUCUUUCUCAAAGCAAUUCAAUAAACUUUAUUGACAUGGAAAGUUAAAUCACUUACAUUGUCCAAGUAAACAUACUGUACAAUAAAUAUGGUUGAAUACGACCAUAAUAUCUCCCGCCCCCUCUCUCACUCCUGCUCCAAACACACUCUCUAAGAGAUCAGUUAUAUGUAGUAGAAAGAGCAGAUCCAAAGAUGACAUCCUCUCUCUCCCUCUCUCCCCCUCUCUCCUUAUACAAGCCACACUCUGAUAGGUGAAGGAUCCUGUGGGGUUGAUGAACUGGAGCCUGCAGUAGGUUCCCGGUUAGGGUUGAUGGGCUGCAGCCUGCAGUAGGUUCCCGGUUAGGGUUGAUGGACUGGAGCCUGCAGUAGGUUCCCGGUUAGGGUUGAUGGACUGCAGCCUGCAGUAGGUUCCCGGUUAGGGUUGAUGGACUGCAGCCUGCAGUAGGUCCCCGGUUAGGGUUGAUGGACUGCAGCCUGCAGGAGGUUACUGGUUAGGGUUGAUGGACUGCAGCAUGCAGGAGGUUACCGGUUAGGGUUGAUGGACUGCAGCCUACAGUAGUAGGUCCCCGGUUAGGAUUGAUGGACUGCAGCCUACAGUAGUAGGUUACCGGUUAGGGUUGAUGGACUGCAGCCUACAGUAGUAGGUUACCGGUUAGGGUUGAUGGACUGCAGCCUACAGUAGUAGGUUACCGGUUAGGGUUGAUGGACUGCAGCCUACAGUAGUAGGUUACCGGUUAGGGUUGAUGGACUGCAGCCUGCAGUAGGUCCCCGGUUAGGGUUGAUGGACUGCAGCCUGCAGUAGGUCCCCGGUUAGGGUUGAUGGACUGCAGCCUGCAGUAGGUCCCCGGUUAGGGUUGAUGGACUGCAGCCUGCAGUCGGGCCCUGGUUGGGGUUGAUGGGCUACAGCCUGCAGUCGGGCCCUGGUUGGGAUUGAUGGGCUACAGCCUGCAGUCGGGCCCUGGUUGGGAUUGAUGGGCUACAGCCUGCAGUAGGUCCCCGGUUAGGGUUGAUGGACUACAGCCUGCAGUAGGUCCCUGGUUAGGGUUGAUGGACUGCAGCCUGCAGUAGGUCCCUGGAUAGGGUUGAUGGGUUAUAGCCUGCAGUAGGUCCCUGGUUGGGGUUGAUGGGCUACAGCCUGCAGUAGGUCCCUCAUUGGGAUUGAUGGACUGCAGCCUGCAGUAGGUCCCUGGUUGGGAUUGAUGGGCUACAGCCUGCAGUAGAUCCCCGGUGGGGACCACAAACAGUAGGUAAUGGCCGGGCCACGGUGGGUGUUAAUUUGUUAUUGUAACUCAGCAGCUGUGCGGCAUGCUCCGAGAGCAGGUGGCAGCCUCCGCAGGGGUGGUUGAUGGGGGAGGAGAAGAGGGGGAGGGAGACAGGAGCAUGUGGCAUGUGUGUGUGGCGGGGGGGGGUAGCUCUCAGCAAGCAAAUUAUAUAUCCUGUUUCCAUGAGAAACAACAUAUGAGGGCCUGGAUGGGUUCCAAUACUAAUCAUUCCUUGCCUUCAAUAGGUUGUUGUGUUGCAGAGAGGCAAGAAAGCAACACCACUGUGUAGAUGGCACAAGGAUGAAUCAAAUAAAUAGAUGUGGAUGUGCUCUAGACCUACCUCUCUCUCUCUCUCAAAUAUAAAUUAUUAUUAUAUUAUCAAAUAGAA